rnacentral:tRNA from 1 species
GGGGUUGUAGCUCAGUGGUAGAGCGCUCUCCUAACAUGUGCGAGGCCCUGAGUUUGAUCCUCAGAACCACA